rnacentral:rRNA from 1 species
GGUGAACGCUAGCGGCGUGCUUUAGGCAUGCAAGUCGAACGUCGUGCUCCGGCUUGCCGGAGAUUACGAGUGGCGGACGGGUGAGUAACGCGUGAGAACGUACCCUCUAGUGAGGAAUAACCUGCCGAAAGGUGGGCUAAUACCGCAUGUAACCGCAAGGUAAAAAGGUGUAACUACCUGCUAGAGGAGCGGCUCGCGUCCCAUCAGCUUGUUGGUAGGUAACGGCCUACCAAGGCUAUGACGGGUAGCUGGACUGAGAGGUUGGCCAGCCACAAGAGCACUGAGACACGGGCUCUACUCCUACGGGAGGCAGCAACCGGGAAUCGUAGACAAUGGGCGAAAGCCUGAUCUCGCGACGCCGCGUGGAGGACGAAGGCCUUCGGGUUGUAAACUCCUUUUAUAAGGGAAUAAGUUCGGCUUUUGUCGGAUUGACUGUACCUUAUGAAUAAGCCGCUGCUAACUACGUG